rnacentral:lncRNA from 1 species
UUACCAAUACUCAGAAUACCUCUCUUUUCCUGCAGAGAUCUUCAUUUUUGAGAAGAUAAGAAACCGCCAGCAUACAGCAAUUUGAGGAACCCAAUCAAUUCAACUCAGUAUGGAAGUGAAAUCAUGAACAAGAAUUUAUUAAACAUCUACUAUGAGUUUGGCACCUGGAUGGGGUGGGGUAGGAUAUGAAUAAACAGGAGGUAGUUUUCAUCCUGUACACCCUAUAAUUGGGAAGACAAGGCAUGGGCCAGUCCAAUAGUAAAGAAUAUGAGAUCAACUGGAAAAUUGGUCCUAUGGAUUACAAAUGAAAUUAAUAUGAUCUGAUGUCAUCAGGAAAGGCUUCAAGGAAAAGCCUGACAAGGUCGGAAGGGACUGAAGGUUCUAGGGAACUGGCCUGCCUGGUUGCUCAGUGUCAGAUGAGGUUGGAGGUGCUGGAUCUUGCCCCACCCACUCCAAG